ensembl:lncRNA
CGCGCCUCGCCGUAAUGAGCGUUUAUUGAGCACUUACCGUGUGCCAGGUCCGGCCCUCAGUAAGCACGUCACAAACAUUUAACCUUACAGCGACCCACUCUGUGAGGUAUUCCUGUUAUCUCCAUUUUACUGAUGAGGAAACUGAGCCUCAGUCAUCGGACAUAACUUGGUCGCGAUAAGAAAGCCUGCUUCACAUGUCUCCCAUCCCUGACAGCUGUGAAAUUGUUCCUCAAAUCUUUCUUCUCUCACUUGAAGAAUCAGCAAAGUUACCGCAAGGGCUCAGGGAAUUGAGUCAAUGGACACCUGACUCAAAACAUGGAGCGCUGAUCCUAGCACCCAACUGACAAUCAGUUCAAUCGGUAGUACUUAAUAAGCCUUCCAAAUGCCAGGCACUGUCCCAAACACUGGGAUACAACAGGGGACGAAACAGUUUUGGUCCUGAAAGAAAAAGGAAAUCGAGGCUCAGUGAGCUUGCCUGGGAUCACACAGCUACAAAGUUUUGAAGCAGUUGUAGCAUGAGAACUCUUAGCUGCAGCAUGAGAACCCUUAGCUGUGGCAUGUGGGAUCUAGUUUCACUGACCAGGGAUCAAACCCAGGUCCCCUGCAUUGGGAGACGGAGCACAGAGUCUUAGUCACUGGACCAUUAGGUAAGUCCCUUAUCAGCCUAUUCUUAACACAGUGAGACCACUCAAGAUGUGAGUAAAAUUAUGCCCCUGCUGCCCUCUCCCUUCAACAGAUCCCUCCUCACUCAGAGUCAAACUUAAAGACCUCACAAUGACUUUUAAGACCCUACACCGCUUGGCUUCUGGCUCUCUCCCAGACAUUAUCUACACAUUCCCACUCACUCAGUAUUGACCGCCUCACUGUUCUUUAAACGCAUCAGGCAUGCUCUCAACCUCAGGGCCUUUGCACUGACUGUUCUUUUUCCUGAAAUGCUCUACCUCUGGACCACAAGGAUGGCUCCUACACUUACUUCGGGUCUCUGGUCUCAGCCACCUUCUCAGAGAGAACAUCUCUGACCAUGCUGUCCACUUUACUCUGCUUUUUGUUUUUCUCUAUAGCACUUUUCACCACCUAACAUUUAUUUAUUCAUAUUUUUUUUAAAGAGACACAUCUUUCUCUUUUCUUCUUUG